CCUACGGGAGGCUGCAGUGAGGAAUAUUGGUCAAUGGACGAGAGUCUGAACCAGCCAAGUAGCGUGAAGGAUGACUGUCCUAGGAGUGGUAAACUUCUUUUAUAUGGGAAUAAAAUGUUCCACGUGUGGGAUUUUGUAUGGACAAUAUGAAUAAGGAUAGGCUAACUCCGUGCCAGCAGCCGCGGUAAUACGGAGGAUCCGAGCGUUAUCCGGAUUUAUUGGGUUUAAAGGGAGCGUAGGUGGAUUGUUAAGUCAGUUGUGAAAGUUUGCGGCUCAACCGUAAAAUUGCAGUUGAAACUGGCAGUCUUGAGUACAGUAGAGGUGGGCGGAAUUCGUGGUGUAGCGGUGAAAUGCUUAGAUAUCACGAAGAACUCCGAUUGCGAAGGCAGCUCACUGGACUGCAACUGACACUGAGGCUCGAAAGUGUGGGUAUCAAACAGGAUUAGAUACCCCAGUAGUC
rnacentral:rRNA from 1 species